UAGCUUAAAAAAUACACCCACCGAAGAACAUUCCCAUCGGACGUUGGCUAUUGUGGCCGUACAGUCACAGACCACGACCAGGUUCACUGAACCUCAGACCCCAUUCCCCUUUUAUUUAGAUCCAUCGAAACAAGUUUCAGGAGAAAAAAAUUCACUGAUCAUUUCUUCUUCUUCUUCUUCUUCUCGCCACAAUGAGGUGCAGGUAGAGUAGCUCAACAUGAGGCAUUCCUUUCUUCUGGCAAAAAAGAUGGUCUAAGAACGAUGCCAAUAUUCAUAUUUCAUGAGACAAACAACUUUCUCUAGACUUCUUUUCUUUUACAAAACAAAGAUAAACAGAAUGGCUAGUUUGGACUUGGGAUUUGCAUAAUUUAUUGUAGCCAUUUGCCUGCUUUCUCAUUUAUGCUGCUACUCUUGAGUUCAAGCUAUGUGCUAUCGUGGCCUUGUCGAGGUGGUGAUGACCCGGGAGAGCAAGAUCAGCGUGGGCAAUUCUCCCGGUCUGGUCGCUCCUCCUGCAGCAGUGUGAUCAUAUAGCAGAGCAGAGAGAACAUUUUGCUGUUCUUGGAAGAGUUCCCCUAUUGAAACUUCAAAUGCUUAACUUUGUAGUGGUCAUCAUGUCCUUUGGCUGAUGAUGUUCUUAUUUUCAUUGGAUUGUUUUCAAUAAAAGCUUCUGGUUUAGUCUCUUUGUUGUGAAAGUUGCUUCCUGUUUCAAAAUAAAAGUGAUUUGUUCGUUUAAGUAAA